rnacentral:lncRNA from 1 species
UUGAACUUAGAUCCAGAUGAUAGGGUUUGGUGGCUUCGACGUGAGUAUGCUAAACAAAAUCCAAUUGCAUCAUUUUCAUCCUUGGUAGCAACAUCCUCAUUUCCCUUCCAACCAUACCAUCAACCACCUCCACCAUAAGCUCCUUAGAAUUAUUAUUGUAAUAUAACUAUACUACUUUUUUAUAUGUAAAACUAAUGUAUGAUACUUUUUAUGUUUGGUAUUUUUAUGCUAU